rnacentral:tRNA from 1 species
GGGGAAUUAGCUCAGGGGGAGAGCGCCGCCCUUGCAAGGCGGAGGUCGCGGGUUCGAAUCCCGCAUUCUCCA